CCCUUCAGAGGGGGACAACAGUUGGAAACGACUGCUAAUACCGCAUACGAUCUGACCUCGGCAUCGAGGAUAGAUGAAAGGUGGCCUCUAUUUAUAAGCUAUCACUGAAGGAGGGGAUUGCGUCUGAUUAGCUAGUUGGAGGGGUAACGGCCCACCAAGGCGAUGAUCAGUAGCCGGUCUGAGAGGAUGAACGGCCACAUUGGGACUGAGACACGGCCCAG
rnacentral:rRNA from 1 species